UUUUUUUUUUUUUUUUUUUUUUGCUUUUUGCUUUUUAGGGCUGCACCUGAGGCAUAUGGAGGUUACCAGGCUAGGGGUCCAAUUGGAGCUGCAGCUGCCUGCCUAUACCACAGCCACAGCAACAUCAGAUCCAAGCCCUGUCUGGGACCUACACCACAGCUCAUGGAAAUGCCGAAUCCUUAACGCACUGAACGAGGCCAGGGAUGGAACCUAUAACCUCAUGGUUCCUAGUUGGAUUCAUUUCUACUGAGGCAAAUCAGGUACUCCCAUUUUAUUCUUAUUACGAAAAGAAAAUUCCUUUUACCUCUCUUAUGUUUCUUCCUCAAAUACUGUCAACAGUGUUAUUCACUGUGAAAUGAAAUAACCAAAAGCCAGGGGGAUCUUCCAAUUGAAAUACUGCACUGAAUAUUUAUCCUCUACCUAUUGUUUUUAAAAAUGAACUAUAGCAAGUAUCAAAGCAGUAGAGAUAAUAGCACAGAUGGUCAAAAAUAUUAGAAAACUGUACAAAAGAAUCUAUAAAUCAUACAAGAAAGAUCAAAUUGCUAAAAUGUGUCAUAUAUUUUCCCAAAAGAUUAUAUAUUUAAGAAAAAGUGUCUUGCAACGGAACUGAGAAAGAAGGAGGCUACAUUUAAUGUUACAGCAUUUAGAAAUUAUUCAAAAAAUGGUUGGAAAUAGCACUGAGAGCAGAAUGCUCAAAGAAUAGGAUAAGAGAGAAGAAAACAUUGCUAUAUCCUUCUGCCUUGUCUAUUCCCCUUACUUCUUCCUGUAAUGACUUUAAUCCAAGUAUUUCUUACGAGUCUGCCUUGUCCACACUCCUCUUCACUUGAUCUUAGUGCUUAGACUUUUUUUUUUUUUUUUUGGCAAAAACUACGCCAAAAUAUGCUACUGAGUUUAGCAGCCAAAACCCUGAUGUUUACUUUGGUAAAUGUAGAUUACUCUGAAGCUGUACCUUAUUUUAUGCAGUAGAUUUCUGAAAAAGUUACAUGUAAUUUCCAUAAAUAAAGUAUUUUAAGGGAAAAGGUGGGUUAUUUCCUUCUUCAAUGAAUUUUUUAAUAAAGUGAAGAAUUCUCUGGUAAGGCAAAUAAUCAUUCUUCAAAUAAUAUCACAGCGCCCCUCCCCAAAUCAGAUUUGCCAGAGAUGAGUUCUACUACUAUAAUAUGAUGGACAGUCUGAGUAAGGUCUCACUACAAAGAUAAUUUAGAAGAAUUUCUUGGUCAGGCAUUCAUUAUUCUAAUUAUUGCUAGUCACCUUAUUUUACGUGGUCCGAGACCAAAAGGUCAUGGUAUGAUUUUGACAAUCUAUGCAUAAUUUACACGUUAGGGUCUGGUUCAGAAUAGGACUAUAACUUUAUGAAGUCACCUUUGAAUAUGAAAUAUCAUUUUUUAAUAAAUUUGUUUCAGGGGGAAAAACUAGCAUACGCUCCUACCCUCUUACUUAUACCUCCCUCCCCUACAACAAAAGAAUUUUUUUUUUAAAGAAAAGGUAAUGAAUAAAUGCUAUGUUUCCCAUGAUAAAGGGGAAAAAAAGCCUAGAAAGAUAUGAAACACACUAAUAUUAACAGGAUAACAUACCUAUGAUACUUUCAAAAUGACAAGGCUUGAUUUUAAAAAUUGAUCUUUAACAAGAAAAAGAAAUAUGGGCAAUUAGGAAGUAAUGAAGACCCUGUCAAUAUAGCUAUGUUGAUAAUAACAGGUAAGGGAAUUCUUGAGAAAAUCUAAUAUAUAAAAAUCAGGAGGUCUGUAAUAUGCAUUAUUGAGUCCCAGUGGGAUUAACUAAUGAAUUUAUAAGCUCACCAGCAGUUAUUUUUAGAAAGUUAUAAAGAAUUAGAGAAAUAUUAGAGCAUGGAAAAAUAAUGUGCCUUCUAAAAAGAAAGAAAAUAUAUAUUACUACUAAAAUUCAUUUUAAAAUGAAUUCUAGAGGUUCUAAGGAGAAUAUCAUUAAAAAUAUAUAAAAAUUUAUCAGUAUUUGAACAGGGAAGGGCUUCUAAUGGAGACACUCUAAGUUAGAAGGUACAGGUGAGACUCAGCUACACUGAGUGUAGCUAUACUCAGCUACUCUCUGAAGUGGGGUAGGGUGUUUGUUGAGGGAAAUGCCAAAAGCAGCUCAGUAAACAUGCUGCAUGGUCUGGUUAAAUUACUUGUGUUAAGAUACAGGUAAGUCUCUGUCCACUGCUAACACUGUGCAUACUGUUAAAGCUGAGACUGAGUUGAGACCCUAAAGGCAAGUUGUCAAGCUUGACCAGAGAUAAGAGGCUGAAAAAAAGACAAAAAAUUAGUGGUUGAAACAUUUGUAGCCCCUGGGGAAGACUGUCCUUUCCUCCAGCUUUGUUUUUGUAUUUCUCAUCUAUGGAAGAGGAGUUGAGGAGUGGUCUGGGAAUGGACAGCUUAAGAACCAAGGCGAAAACGUUGAGAAGUAAACCAGUCUUAGGCAGAGUAGAGAACCUGUAGGAGCUGUGGGUCUCUGACAUCAAACCUGGCAGACCUCUCCAAAGAAACUUCUCCUAACCAAUAAAAAAAUGGAUGCAUUUUAUUGCUUCCAGUUGCCUAUCAAACCCAGAUAGCUGGUGUAGAAGUGCUUUCUUUGGUUUUAAUUCUUGUCUCACCUACUCCUCUUAGCAUUGCCGUUAAGGCCUGGCCUCCAGGGAUACAUGUUUCCCUUUAAAAUUUGAACCCAGGUAUGGGCAAAAUUUCUCUUUUUCUAGUUUUCUAGUUUCUUUGUCAUUUUCACAAGUAACUUUACAGAAAGAUGGUAAGAGCAAAGAAAUCUAAACAAGAAAUGCAGAGUCGGAGUUCCCGUCGUGGCGCAUUGUGGAUUCUAUUCUAAAGGAUAUAUUUUGUGGGUGGUUUUUCCAGAGGUCGUGUGAGUGAGUAAUUUAUACAUUCACACAUGUAUUCAUUGUGUGCCAGGGACUAUUUCUUUGGGCUGGGGAUGCAGUGGUGAGCAAGAUACAUAAAGACUCUCCUCUUGUAGCAUACAUGUGGGUGAGGAUGGCAGGCAAUCAACAGGUAAAACAAUCGACAUGAUAAUUUCAGAGUCAGAUGCACUGUGAAGAAAACACAAAAGGGGGACGUGAAGAGAAAGAGAAGGAGAGGUGGUCAUCAAUUUUGCCCAGAUGGAGAAGACUUAUGACCUGAGACCAGAAGGGAAUGGAGCCAGGAGAGUGCCACAGGCAGAGUUCUGGAAGAACAGGGGCAGGGAGGGGCUCUGAGGAGGAAAAUGCUGGUCACAGGGAACCAGCUCAUUGGGACCAGCUCAUUGGUCAAAGCUGGAUGCCUGGAGUAUGGUGGCUGAGGGAGAAAGUGGUAGAAGAUGAUUCAGAGAGGUGGGCAGCCUCACUACGUGAGGUCUCUCAAGCUAGAGUGAAACAUUUUAAUUUUAUUCCAAGUACAAUGGAAGAGCUGUCUGCAGAGUUUUUGCAGAGGAGAAAUAUAAUUUGACUGCAUAUAAAAAAGAGUACACUGGUUGGAAAAUGGAGAAUGGAUUAUGGAGAGUUGGAUGAUGGAUUUAACCCUUCCUGAUUGCAUUUAUCAAUUCCUCCCACCUCUAGAUCAUUCUCUGGGGCUCAUUCUUCUCCUGCGCACUUCAGAGUAUAAAACCCACCUACUGCUAGUUCACAUAAAUAAAGUGAGUAAUAGUAGGAUGUAAUAUUAAUAUGCAGUAGGAACUGAAAGACAGCCUAAUGAAAUAAUAUUUCAGAGUAGUGGAGAAAAAAAAUGGAGUUGAACUAGAAAUAGCAUUCUCCUAACAAUUCUGCUUUUGGUAUAUAUGCUGAUACCUCUGGUUUCUUGGCCCUUUGGACUAUGGGAAGGUACUCUGCUGUCACAGUGUUCCAUUUCUGCAAGGCAGAAAGUAACUGGUGGACUUACUAGCCAGGUAGGUGUUUCUACUUUCUUCAUUUCCUUGAAUAGACACAACAUUCUCUCAGUUACUUUAGCUCAAAACUGCUAGGUCAUCUUUGAUUUUGUGGCCUCCUGAUCCCAUCACUUACCAAAUCCUGACAAUUACACCUCAGCAAAGUUUUUCCAAUCUCUUUUUUUCCCCCAUUCCAUUCCCCUGUUACCACCUUUUACUUUAUUUAUUGACCUGUCAUUUAGAAUCCAGAAACUGCCUGCUAACUCAUUUCACUGCCUUCAACCUCUUUUCUAUCCUGUACUUUGCUACCAGAUGAAAAAUUCUAAAGUAUCAUUUGUGUCAUAGACCUCUUUCUAGAUAAGCAUAUCCAAUGGUCUCCAUUAUCUAUCAAAUUAAGUAGAAAUUCCUUCAUGUGGUUUAAAGCCCUUCAUUCCUUGGAUCCAGCCUUCUUUUCUGGGUAAUCUGUCAACUGUUCUUCUGUAAGUAUUCCCUAUUUUCCUAGACCCAGGUCAAUUGACAAUUUUUAAACCUUUUCAAAAUCUCAGGGACUGGACAUCUGUGAUCCUGAGGUCCAGCCAGAGAAGAGGUUGAUCACUACUGCAAAGUUUUUGAAGGCAGGGGUCAAACUUAACUCAUCAAUACAGAUGGAUAAACGUACCCUAUGUUGAACUGCAUGCUAGCUUUCAGAGUGAAGAAAUAAAUUCCUCUAACAAUUAUAAUUUUCCAGACAACAAAUUAAUACCACACACACACAGACACACACAAAUAAAUUCCUCUCAAAUUGGAAUAUCAUGACAGUUAGAUACUUUAUAAGUAAAACUGAAGGAAGUAGAGUCUUCUCCUUGCCCUCUCCAACAAACUGAUGAGGUAGACUCAGGUGAUCCACUAUCCAUGAGCAACUAGUUGAUAAGCACUGACAAAUAACUCAAAGUAUUUUCCAGAUCUCUUUGGCUAAAAUGCAGUGCUUAUCUAACACAUACAAUAUACUAGCAUCAGAAGAUAUUAAGUAAAGUUUAAGAACUGAAAACUCUGAGAGUCAAACUUUAACUGUUCAAGAGCUUAUAUUCCCAAGAUGUGGUUGGCUUGGUUCAAGUUUAGAUGCAGAUAGAAACAUAUCAAAUAUAAGAUAGUAAAGAGAUGGAAAGGACCCAAGAUAAAAUUUCAUCCAACAGUUUCAUUUCACAAGUGAGAAAUCUAAAGUCCAGAGCAGCUGUGAUGGGCCACAGAUACACAGACAUUUUGCUUAAAUAUAGUUAAUAUUUAGAAAGUGAUUAAGCAUUAUAAGAGUAAAAUUUUCAGAAGAUAUACAUCUAAUUGCUUUAAGAUCCAGUUCAAUAUUUACUUCCUCUAAUAAGCCUUCUUUGAUUAACCUCAGCCCAUAGGUUAAAACAACUACUCCCUGUCUUCACGUUUCAGUGUUUUGUAUAUAGUGUAUACUAUAUUAUUAUAUACUUGAUGGAAAACAUCUUGGUUUAUCCCUAAAUAAUUUGAGGGUAAUGCCUCAAAAUUUUUAUUCCUGAAAGUCACAGCUGAGGCUUAAUAAAUGUUUGCUAUAAGAAAACCUGUCCAGGACAGAAACCACCAGAAAAAUGAUGCUUAUUAAGUGCUAUUACAAUAUAAUAAAGCAUAGAUUCGUAGAUUUUUCUAUGAUUUUUACACUAUUUUGAUGAUAGUCUUCAUUUUGAUAUUAAGAAAAAUGAAGCAUACAGACGAUCACGGCAGUAAAAACUAGUGAAUUUACAAAGCUAAGUGCUACUGGUGUGGAAUACAUAGGUGAAUCAUUGUAUAAAACUUUAUAUACAUAGCAUCAUUUUAUAUUGCUGUAUCAGACCUUUGCUGAGCAGCCAAUAGAAGCAGUAAGUGGAGGAUGGAUGAGGUGAUAAGCAGCCAUUAUGGAUUGCCCCAAUCACUUAAUGAUUUGGAAAUGUACUAACGCCUAUAUAGGCCAGUUUGGGGAGAACUAAUGUUUACAAUGCUGAGUCUUGCAAAUUAAUGAAUGUGAUGUAUCUUGCCACUUCUUUAAUGCCUCUCAAUGAAAUUUUAUCACUUUUUCUAUAGAGGAUUUGUACUUCAUUUUUAGAUUCAUUCGUUCAUUUAUAAUUACAUUUUUUAUUUUGAGAUAAUUAUAGAUUCAGUUGAAAGAAAUAACACAAAUGGAUCCUGUGUCCCUUUCAUAAUUUUCCUCAACAGGAACACCUUGUAAGACCAUAUGACAAUCAAGAUGUUAACAUGAUACAGUUAAGAUGCACAGCAUUUCCAUCACCACAAAGAUCACUCAUGUUUCCCUAUAGCCACAUCCACUUCUCUUCCAUCCCCUCCUUAACCCCUAGCAGCCACUAAUCUGUUCUUCAUUUCUGAAAUUUUGGCAUUCUAAGCAUGUUAUAUAAAUGGAAUCAUACAAAUAUGUAACCUCAUGAGAUUGGCUUUUUUCUUUUUUUGGCUGCACCCACAGCAUAUGCAAACUCCCAGGCCAGGGAAUGAAUCUGAGCCAUAGCUAUGGCAACACUGAAUCCUUAACCCACUGUGUUGGGACAGGGAUUCAACCUGUGCCUUGGCAGUGAUUUGAACCACUGCAGUUGUGCCACUGUGCCACAGGGGUAACUCUGGGAUUGGCUUUUGAAAUUCAGCUUAAUUUUCUGGAGAUUUGUCCAGGUUGUUGUGUAAGUCAAUAAUUAGUUCCUUUUUAUUGCUGAGUAGCAUUCCAUGAUAUGGAUGUACCACAGUUUGUUUAACCAUUCCUGUCUCAAAGGAUAUCUGGGUUGUUUUCAGUUUUUUGGCUAUUAUAAAUAAAGCUGCUGUAAACAUUCAUGUAUAAAUUUUUAUGUGAAAUAAUUUUUAUUUUUCUGGGAUAAAUGUCCAAGAGUGCAGUUGCUGGGCUCUAUGUUACUUGCAUGUUUUGUUUUACAAGAAACUGCCACACUGUUUGUCAGAGUCAUAUCCUUCCAGCAAUGUGUGAGUGAUCUAGUUUCUCUGUAUCUCUUCCAGUAAUUUUUUUUUAAUUUUUAUUUAAUGGCCUUGCCUGUGGCAUUUGGAAAUUCGCGGGCCAGGGACUGAAUCUGAGCCACUGCUGUGACCUACCACACAUGCGGGCAAUGCCAGCUCCUUUAACUCACUGUGCCAGGCCAGGGAUUGAACUCCAGCCUCUGCAGCGACCUGUCAGAUUCUUAACCCCACUGAGCCACAGCUGGAACUCCCAGCCAGUAAUGUAUUAAAAUAGGAUAGACUGAUUCCUCUUACUUUAUUCUUUCUUCAAAAUUGUUUUAAGUAUUUUAGUUCUUUUAACUUUUAUAUAAAUUUUAGAAUAAACUUGUCGAUAUCUAUUGUACAGUAACAAAUUGACCUUGCCCUGAAAGGUUUCAGCUGGAACUCUGGAGUAUCUGGAGAUUAAAGUUAGCCAUGCAGGAGUUCUUGUUGUGGCUCAGUGGGUUAAGAAUCCAAUAUAGUGUCUGUGAGGAUGUGGGUUUGAUCCCUGGCCUCGCUCAGUGCUUUAAGGAUCCUGCAUUGCCAUGAGCUAUGGUGGAGGUUACAGAUGUUGCUUGGAUCCUGUGUUGCUGUGGCCGUUGUGUAGGCUGGCAGCUACAGCUCUGAUUCAGCCACUAGCCUGGGAACUUCCAUAUGCUAAGGGUGUGGCUCUAAAAACGAAAAAAGGUUCAGGUGAAUUUCCCCAGUUUGCACUAUAGUGUGUGUAUUCUCAUCCAAUGUUGCUGGGAGAAGACAGCACUGUGCAUUACUUGACUGGAAGUGAACAACUGGAAAUUCAUCCUUGGAACCUUCCUGGACUCUGCCCUAUGUACGUUUCCUUGCUGAUUUUAGACUAUAUCCUUUUGCUGUACUAGACUGUCACCAUGAACAUAAUAGCUUUCAGGAAGUUCUGAGUCCUUCUGGCAAAUGAUCGCACCUAGAGAUGAUCUUAGGGACACCUGCUUGUGGUAGGUAUGAGAAGUGAGGGUGGUCUUGGAGACUUCAGAAGGUUAUAUCUACAAAAAACCUUGCUGGAAUUUUGACAGAAAUUUUGUUAAAUUUGUAUGUCAACUGGGGAGAAAUGGCAUCUUUACUAUAUUCAGUGAGUAAAUCUAUGAAUAUGACAUGUUUGUUAAUGCUACUAUAAAUGGGUAUUUAACUGCCUGUUGUUGGUAUACAGAAAUGCAACUGACUUCUGUAUAACAAUUUUGUAUCCAGCAACCUUGCUAAAUUGUCCUUGUCCUCCUAAGAAUUUAUCUGUAGAUUUUGAAUUUUCUACAUAAAUGAUUAUAUCACACGUGAAUAAUUUCAGGUUUUUUCUUUUCUAAUUCUUAUAGCUUUUAUUUCUUCCAGUCAUAAAUUUUAGAAAACUUUGAACUAUAAACAACACAGCUGCAAAUGUAACUAAUGAGAUGAAUAAAAUAUAAAGCAAAUUAUUAUGAAUAACAUGAAUAUGGCAUAAGAUUACUACAUUUUCUAUUUUGAUUGAUUUCUUGAUGAUGCACUUAAAAAAAAAAGACAGUGAAAAAAGAAAAAGUUUUGUCAGGUAAUGUCAUCUAGUUGCUGACUGCUGGUCAUGAAAGCUCCCUGUCAUUUUAUGACAGAUACUGACAGCUUCUGGAGGAUCACUUUGCUCCUAAUACUGUGACUUCUUUUCAUUCUAGUUAAGGUAAUGUAGAAACAGACUAUUUUUGUUACAUUCAGUCUAGAGUUACCCUCACCUGUCUGGUACUACUUAAAUUUCAUUCCCAGUACGCUCCCCCAAGGCAUUUCCUCUCUGAAUGUCCUUUUCUUUAAAAAAAAAAAGAUCCCAUAAUGCAACUGCCGUCUACAUAGGAAGAAUCCUUAAAGGAUUCUGAACGUCUUUCUAUAACACCAUUAAUACAUAUAGAAUAACAUCUUUCAUUAAGAUAAUAAUGAACUGAUUUUAAAUUAAAUACAUAUAUUCUCAAAUAUGUCAUGUAAACAUAGUAAAUGCCUACUAUUUACUAAUUUAGAAAAUGUCAUGGGAACAUAUUAGAUAGGACUGAUUACUUAGGUACCGGAUAAUAUUUUAGAGUAUUAGCUUAAUUCAUGAGCACUUAAAUUAAGUUUAACUAUGGACUGAUUUAUGAUAACAUAGAAUAUAAACAGAUAUGACUAAACAAUUACCAGAAAAGUUUAUGAAAAUUAUUUACAAUUAUAAUCCUUACUGCAUCUAUACUAAAUUUUAUUCUAAAAAGACUUUUUUGGGGGGUCUUUUUAGGGCUGCACCCACAGCAUAUGGAGGUUCCCAGGAUAGGGGUCUAAUCAGAUCUGUAGCUGCCGGCCUAUGCCACAGCCACAGAAACGCCAUAUCUGAGCUGCAUUUGUGACCUUCACCACAACUGGUGGUAACACCCGAUCCUUGAGCUGCUGAGCAGGGCUAGGGAUCGAACUCGCAACCUCAUGAUUCCUAGUUGGAUUCAUUUCCGCUGCACCAUGAUGGGAACUCCUAAAAAGACACUUCAAAACUCUAACUGGACUUUCCACAUAGGCUUUUCUGUAACUGUCCAGAAGAUUCAUAGGCAGAAAUAUUUCACGAUUGCUCAAGGAAUUAAAAUUUCCUUUCUAGGAGUUUCCCAUUGUGGCUCAUUGGGUCAUGAAUCCAUGAGGAUGUGGGUGUGAUCCCUGGCCUCCCUCACUGGGUUAAGGGAUGUGGCAUUGCUGUGAGCUGUGGUGCAGGCUACAGAUGAGGCUGGGAUCUUGUAUUGCUGUGGUUGUGGUAUAGGCUGGCAGCUGCAGCUCCAGCUUGACCCCUAGCCUGGGAACUUCCAUAUGCCACAGGAGCAACCAUUAAAAAAAAAAAAAAAAAAAAA
rnacentral:lncRNA from 1 species